GAUGAACGCUAGCGGCAGGCCUAACACAUGCAAGUCGAGGGGCAGCACAGAAACAGCAAUGUUUUGGUGGCGACCGGCGGACGGGUGCGUAACGCGUAUGCAACCUACCUUUAACAGGGGGAUAACGGAGAGAAAUUUCCACUAAUACCCCAUAACAUCGAACAAGGCAUCUUGAUUGGUUGAAAACUCGGGUGGUUAAAGAUGGGCAUGCGUUGUAUUAGGUAGUUGGUGAGGUAAUGGCUCACCAAGCCUACGAUACAUAGGGGGACUGAGAGGUUAGCCCCCCACACUGGUACUGUGACACGGACCAGACUCCUACGGGAGGCAGCAGUGAGGAAUAUUGGUCAAUGGGGCAACCCUGAACCAGCCAUGCCGCGUGCAGGAAGACGGCUCUAUGAGUUGUAAACUGCUUUUAAACAGGGAUAAAGCACAGUAUGUAUACUGUGUUGAAGGUACUGUAAGAAUAAGGAUCGGCUAACUCCGUGCCAGCCGCCGCGGUAA
rnacentral:rRNA from 1 species